GAUAAGUAAUGUGAAUUGCAGAAUUCAGUGAAUCAUUGAAUCUUUGAACGCACCUUGCGCCUUUUGGUAAUCCAAGAGGUACACCUGUUUGAGUGUCAU
rnacentral:rRNA from 1 species